GCAUGAUAUUGAGGCAGCCAUGUUGGCAUAUGAAUCGUCUCAAUCGUAGCGACAACACCAUUGUACUUUUAUGAGGCGAGGAAGCAACAUUUUUGGCUGAUUUUUUUUUAAACUGUUCCUUGUAAAAUGCUGCUGCAAGGGAUAGUUAAAGAUAUUUGGAAAAAGACCCACAAAAAAUGUCUUGUCUUUAAACGUAUUUUUAGCACGUUUCAAAAGCGAAUUUCAAAAUGUGUAACUAUCCCCCGCAGCGGAAUUUUAUAUGGAACAGUUUAAAACAAAAAUCAGCCGGAAAGGUCGCUUUCUCGCCUCAUAAAAUUACAAUAACUAUUUGGAAAAUUACAAACGUUUGACAUCAUUCUGUCUUUGUCUCUCCUCCGAUUGUUGUAUCUCCCUCUCUGUCAAAGCAUCAUUGGAAAGACAAGGAUCUAUCUAUCCCUGUCUCAGAGCUUCCUACUUUUUCCGCAACUGUCGCUGAAGUCAACUCGAAGUUUUGCUGGGUCUCCUGCGCACCCUUAAGGGUAAAAAAUAAACAAUAAAAUGACGAUAACAAACAUACUUUUAUUGUUUAUAAACUUUUAAGGCUGAAAUUGCAAAAUCAGGCCUUGGAGUCGCAUCCGCCAAAGUAUAACGGAUAUAUUAAAACCAGAAUUAUUACAAAAUAUUGCUUCUUUGCUUCAAUAUCUUCCAAAAAAUCAUGCUAGCCUAAUCGCCCUGUCCUCGUCUCUCCUGCAAUUGUUGUAUCGCCCUCUCUGUCCUUGUCCCGGAGUUUCCUACUUUUUCCGGAACUGUCGUUGAAGUCAACUCGGAGUUUCGCUCUGGCUUCUGCGCACCCUUAAAACAAUUUCAUUUGCUCGCAAGAAGAAAUUCAUAAAAUGUUAACCCGAUAAAAAACUUCAAAAAAGUAAAAAAAAUACGCCAAGUACAUGAAAAAGUGGAGGAAUCAAGGAGUUAUUAUUGAAAAAUAGACGAUCCCCAUAAAAAAACUACAAGAAAGUAGAAAAAGAUGUGAAAUCGAAAUGAACUAGUUGAAGCUAUAGCUUCAAACUCUGGCUUUCAAUAAUGACGUAAAAGUACUUGAAUCUCAAAAUUUUCCGUGAUUUUACUAAAAUGAUCAAUUACUAAUGUAACUAAUAAUUAAAUAUGAAAGAGCUUUUUAAAAGCUACAAAAUGAUAUACAUGUAACACUUCCAUAUAAAGUAAUUUUAAUGAUUUCAACAAAUUGCACAAAUUGAAACAAUGUAAAAAAUGCAAAAACUUUUGGUUCAUCCUAAUACAUAUUAAUAAAAAUAAAAUAAAAUAAAGAAUAAUGUGUCUUUUAACAUUUUUGAGUCCACCCUUUUCUUCAGUUUUAAGGUCCUUUUCGAUGGUCAUAUUUGUUCUCAGUUCAGUUUUAGUUUCAGUCGAACUGUCAGUUUUUCUUAUGUAUAAACAUAUUAUGUGACAACAUAAUGCCGUCGUUUUAGACGGUCAUAUCUGUUCUCAGUUCAGUUUCAGUUUCCGUUAUCGUUUCAUUUCAGUUCGGAAAACUUGGUCCUUUUACACGAUCCGUUCAGUUCUCACUGUUCCCAGUCGUUUCAGUUCUUUGUAACCCAAAUAUAGCGACAGAUCUAUACAAGAUCUACACAAUCACAUUAGUAUUAGUAAAAAAAGUUCCAAUCUCUCUUUUUUUAUUUUAAAUAAUAUGGCUAUAUAAUUAGAAUAAAAAUUCAAGUAAAAUAAGCCGUCCCUAAUAUACAUAUAACCUAACCUACGAUUGUACGGAAAUGGAUACAUAGCCUACAUAGCUUUCACUAUCGCAUGUGUAUCGAAGCUAGCGCUUUAAUUUGGCUAUUGAUGCCAUCUCAUGUCGAUUACCAGAAUCUGAACUAAAUUUGUUACAUGACUUGCUCUGCAGUAUCCAGAAAUUUACCGGCAAUGUCAUCUGUGUAAUUACUCGUGUCUAUGGGAUUAUAUUCAAACAUAGCUACGCAAAUAUUUUUAAGGUAACAGAAAGUGCGAUAAGGUUUUGACAAUAUCGCUAUCUACCAGUAGGAUUACUUGCUUAGAUACCUGUGUAGUUAACUACGGUCGGUACAGUCGAUUAUACGAUCACGUGAUCGCAGAGGGCGUGUGACGCCAUUUCUAACUAUGCGAGUCUCGUUCAAAUAGUUUUUCCUCAAACAUUGUGUAUUUCGCAGAAGGAAAGGCAUUUUUAAUCGUUUUGAAAUCCAAAAGUAGCCGGAAAGUGAACAAUACUUUUAGUAGACGAAAUGUGAAUGAUCAUCGUGGAUGAAACCACAUGAUUCGGAUCGAAUCACGCAUAAAAAGUUCCGUUUUGAUCGGUAGCGUGUUCGAUGCACGAAGAAAAGAACGAGAUUUAUUAUUUAUUAGAUACACAUUUUCACCCAUAACAGAAUUUUAUUCGCGCAAUAAAAACUUUUACAUAAUGUCGUAUCACGUAUUAAUAGUUUCAUUUAUGUGUGUCGAUCAUUCAACGACGUGAUAUUCUCUUGUGUUAUACUCAGUGUAUGUAACGCAUCAUUUGCAUAAUGCAUCAUUUGUUUCUUGAUUAUAAGCUUGUAAUUGCUUGCAUGCCAUACAUGCUCACUGUAAAAUGUACAGCUCGCAGCGAUCGACCUUACAAGGGAAAUUCGGCAAUUGAUACAUGCCAAACAUUCGAAUUUAUGCAGAAAUAAAGUUUAUGGAAACUUGAUUACUGUACUCUUUUCCAUUCUAACCCAAAAACGGUGUUAAGGAUAGAAACACCACUUCGAAAUAAGUCUGGUUAUUUAUAUUCUUUCUAGUAUCUCUGAAAUCAUAAAAGAUUUAUAAGAAAUUGAAAGAAAACUUAUAUUUAGAAAUAUUUCCCUCUCCAUAAACAUUUCUACCAAUAGCUGCACAAACAUUGUGGACGUUUUCAUACUAUACAAUUUUUGUCUAACCAAUUUUGUUCCAUUUAUUAUCAAAUUCGAGUUAUUGUGCAAUAUAGGUAUGUUGACUUGUACUGUGUGCCCGAUCGGCCGUAAUUUUUGACCAAAAUUUGAAAAAAUCAUAACUCUUGAUUUUAUGGUGUGAGAAAUAUCCAUAAAAAUAAAUUUUGUUAACUUUUUACUACAGAAUCAUAAAAUGUUAAAAACCAUAAAAUUUUAUACUUAAAAUUUUGUCUAUAUUUCUUAUAGUUUCAGAGAUAUUAACAAAAGUAUAAAUAAUCAGUAUAUUUCGAUGGGACGUUUAUAUCCCUAAAACAAUUUGUUAACCCAAAAUGGAAAGGAGGACUGUGAUUAAGCACCCAUGUACUUCAUUUCGGUAAAAAUUCAAAUUUUUCGACGUCUAUUAAUUACUGAACUUCCUUUGUUAAUGCAUAGAAAUCGUGAUCCUUUAUGGACGCAUGGAUUAACGGGGUUAACAGGCACGCGCACGCCAUUUUUGUUCAUGAUCAACGAAAGUAGAUCACAAGAAUAAUCUACUAAUUUCAACACAGUCACGUAUAUUUCUUUCGUAUUUAACGGAAGACAAUUACACAUAUUUUCGAGUGAAUUUUUAUUAUGAAUCACAGUGGAACCUCAGUUAAUCGGAAUUUUUCAUUCGUAAUUUUCCGUUUAACUGAGUUUCUAUUUUCGAGUAAAGAAUAUAGACUGCAUGAACGAUACUAUUUCUUAAAAGUGUAGCCAUGGUUAAGGAUUCAAGGAAUAAGAUUCUGGACACACAAAGGUUUAUUGCGAGGAAUAUGGUUAUACAGAGGAUUAGGAAUGGAUAAUUGUAACAGGAAUUCAGAAUGAACGGAAUUAUACUAAAGAACAUAAUACAAUUCUUCAUUUUACAAUAUUUUACAAUUUUCAAUCUUUGAAAUGGCAGAAUCAUUCUGUACUCUCCCAUUCGACAGGCGUCCAGGUAUUAUCGCCAAACUUUCCUUGUCGAAUAGGGCCUAUUUAAUAGGCGACCAGGAACAUACUCCUGUCCUCUCCCUUUUCCAGCAGACGUCCAGAAAUUAUCGCCGAACUGUCCUGCCAGAGUCCCUAAGCCGAAUUCCGAGAGCGGCCGAUGGUCUUACCUCGUCCUCUUUCCCGGAAUGGCAAAUAGGCCGAAUGCCUCUACGAGCCUUCAAUUUAUAUCGCACGGUUGCUAUCCGCGGCCGCGGUUCUCAACAGUCGCGUCGUUAGGCGAGAAGGUUCGCGAGUUCGCGGUCCGCGCUUCGCGUCUCACACCGAGCGGUGGCCACCCUCCUAUGUUCUAGAAGUUUCGUACGGUCGCUUUUCGUAUUUCUUGAAUUUCGUAUGCUACAAAAGAAGGAUUAUAUUUUUAAAAAGUAAUAUUCCGAAGUAAUACAGUCAACCUUCUUUAAAUGUCGCGAUGGUUCCCUUUGUAAUUGUCGUCCAAUUAUUCUCACCGUAUCGUGGAUCUGUUAGCGCGUCGUUCCAUAUUUAUAAGGAAGUCGAUAUAGAAUAAUAGAAAUCGACCCUUUCAAAGAACUUGGCAUACCAGAGACAAGUAAAUAGCGAUUAAAUUUCGCCUAUCUCUCUGUCUUGGCGUUGCCACUCGUAUUUACUCAAGUCGGCAGUUACAAUUAGACAGGAUCGAUUCUUUUAUACAAUUGAUGGACUUAUUAAUAGUAACUGAAACGACAAAAUAUUAUUAAUACUCACCAAGUAGCAUCAACAUUAAUCAUUCUUGAGGGACUCUACUUAUAGUCGUUAUAAAAAGUAUAUCUAAUACUACAGUGUAAUGCUUUCGGACAAAUGUUUGUUCAGGAUUGUAAGAUUAUUUGUUAUUGUAAAUUUUAAUGAGCAAUAGAUACAUAAAUCCAUGUUAAGAAGUAUGGACAUUGGUGUUCUAGUCAACAGUCUUUAAAUAAACUUUGAAUAGAUUUCGCAUUGUUUUAUAUUUUCGUGGUACGGGAGUACUAAAAAAUAUACUCGUCUUUCGGGAAUAAGGUUGUCGAACAAGUAUAAGACGACUGGAAUAAAGUUAAAAUUUACUGCUAGUUGAAUAAUUAGAAGCGAUGCUGUACAUGGUGUAAAACGAAUAUUCGCCAUGGAUCUUAAACAUGAAUCUCGGCGUCUCGAUCGUGGGAAAGUUUUUAUAUAUCAAGGUCACGAAAUUAAGUUUCUAUUUUUACAUAUUCUAUUCGAAUAAACAUUCAUAUCGCGUUUAUUCGAAUAGAAUAUGUAAAAAUAGAAAUUUAAUUUCGUAACCUUGAUAAUUUAACAAAUUUAAUGAUAAUCAAUAUGAACAAAAUACAAAAAUAAAAAGAAUUUUUUUGUAUUUUGUUCAUAUUAAUUAUCAUUACAUCUGUUUAAAUUAUUUUGUUAUUCCUGUAAAAUUUUUUAGUGAAACUUCAAGAGUUGUUUAUCUUAUUUAUAUAAAAUCAUGUUUUUUUUUUGAAGUUGCAUUUGCAGUUACAAGUUUAACUUUAUUUUAAUUUAACUGUUAAGAUCAGGAGAAUCCGCCACUCAUGAAAGUAGAAUAUUCCGUAUAUAAAAAAGUAAUACUUUUAAUGCGCUCACGAAGCUUUUAUAUUAGACAUUUGGUAUCGAUAGAAAAAUUACCCAAAUGCCAGCAUUUCUGUUGACUCUAGAGAUAGUGUUCUUCCUUAAACGCAAUAUGGGAUGUGGAGUUUUCGUUUGUUGACAACAUUAACGUUUCCAGUAACAGAAGAAAAAGUGGGGUAAGCACUCCACUUCAAAACUUUAAUCGUUUGUGAAAAAAACGGCUAGUUUGGAACACACUGUGCCUCUUAAGCUUUACCUUCAUUUACGAAUAGAAUGUACAGGAAUAGAAAAAGAAUUUUGUGACUGGUUUUUUACUGGCUUUCCAUUGAUUUAGGUACAUAGAUUCAUCUCUGAAAGCUGUGACGAAUAUUUUUCGGUACACUCCGUAUACAAAAAUGACGCACCGCGGCAGUGUACGAUCAACACAUUUGAAACGACACUUUCUGGUUUCAAAAGCGUCAAAAUGUUUAAGAAAUGAGACACUUCUAACCCCCUAUUGCAUAACGUGCUCGAUACAAAAUUUGCGCAUGACGUGGGAAGGUCUAAUCGAUUCACUUAUCGUUCGACUGGAGCGUUAAUUAACUCACGAGUACAUAAGUAAUCAAGAUACAAUUUCUUGUAUGAAAGCUGAAAUGAAAUUCAUGCAAUAGUGGGUUAAACGCAGAAAAUUAAAAAUACAAAUAUAUUAAAUAAAGAGAACAACACGUAUUCGUGAAUGGACACGCGUGGAAUAACAAUUUUGCGAAAGAAUUCUUGGUAAUUUCUAUCAAGAUUAGUCGGCUUACCUAUAUGUCCCGAUCAAAUAAGAGGUUCCACUGUAUUCUAUCAUUUUACGACUUGCUAAAAAGCUUACGCAUCGAUACAUCGUUAAAAAGGAUCAAGGAAUGGGAAGGAUCGUUUCGGUUUUUCUUUCUAUUCUUUUUUUUUCUCGAUAACAAUAUUUGGUAACUUUAAAAUGCCGAUAAAAUUCUCUGUUUUACGAUUCUCGUGUAGUAGUAUCAAGCGUCGAGUGUUCCGCGGAUUCGGAUCGAUAUGGAUCACCCACCGGAAGUGCAUGUCGCUGCAGCACGAAAGAAAUGGCGCGCGCGUGUCACCUGCGUGCGAUCCUUUCUUAUUUGUACGUAAAAUUAUUUCUCAUUAUACUGAUGCGCAUCUAGACUUUUUGUUUCGUUACGAACGUUAUUUAGAAUAUUAUUUCAAUGAGCAAGUAACUAGGAGAGCCUCUGUUUUAUUUUACUUCAUAUUUUUUCUUUCAUGUCUUUUAUUCGCCUAUUUCUUUUUAAGUCCCGUUUCAUUCUAUCGUCCCUUUUUCGUUAGCUAAUCGAGACAAGCACGAGGACACGCUUCUGUCACGUCGUUACGUCGCUUUUCUCGCCAGUCGGCGCGAGCAAUUCUCCAAUUCCGACUUAACAAAUUAAUUAAGAUAAUGUAAACACUCGCAGCCAUGCUGACUCUUCCCCGAUGUUUCAUACCCUUUCACGCUUUUUUUUCUCGCACGCUCACUCACCCAAUUUUCUAUCUGGUUUAUUUACAAUGUAUCGUAGUGCAAUCGUAUCCUUUCGCUUCGGAGUACGCUAGCUGGAUGCCAGUUUCUCGUUCGUCGACUAUGAAUUCGAUAACUGUCGCGCGGUGUGUUUUCAUUAAAUGGCGGGAGCCAACGCGUAGCUAUGCAUAGAGAAAACGAAAUGCUAGCUGCAGUGGACGAAAAUGAAGCACGGCGUACGACGGAACGGCUCUAAUUAAAAUUAAUUCUCAACUGAUACGGAGUACGGUAUUUGAUUGUUAUUAAUAUCACUGAUGGUAAUCUGAUGUUGUUUAUUACAGUUUCAUUUAGAAAAAAUUUUCUACGUUAGUAUAUGGUAAUCUAGGCUGGCAUUGAUUCCUGCAUGCUCUUACUAGGUACAGUUAAAUCUGCUUAUAAAAAUCCAGUGAAUACAUUUCUGAAGGUUAACACUGGGAUUAAAAAGCCUAUAAAUUGAUCUCAGUAGAUGAAUCGUUAAACGACAUUAUUUUUCACGUUCACAUGUAAUCAUUUGUGUUCUAUUAAAAACAAAAUCUUAAAGCUUCUUUCUUUGAAAUGAAGAGAUGUCUAAUUAUUACAAUUAUCGCGCUCCUGAUUGGUUGCAUUAGAGAAGGUCUAUUUAACAUUUUCCCUUUUUUAAUGUUAAUUCGGUGAAGUAGUUGUUACGCAAUUUUCUCUGUUUCAUAUAUCAAAUCAUAGUCUAUUUACGUGACAAUUAUUUAGAUUAAUUAGUGAAAUUAGGAAUGAAAAUUUAGUUGUUUAAGAAACAGUAACAAAUGUUGGAAUUCUAAUUGUGUUUCUUAUUUGAAAAUACGUUCAGCAUAUAAACGAUUUAUAAAUAUUCCGUAUAGUGUUCUUGGAGCCCUUCAACUUUGGUCUGAAACAUUUUAUAACUCUAUUGAUACCUUUGACAAUAGCUAUUUGGAUCGAUUAAAAUUAAACAGCCUACUUAUUUUGUUCGACUAGAAGCCUGACUGUAUUUCAUUUCUUAUGAAUCUAUAAUUAUUAGAAUUCAUUGAAACACUGUCAUUACAUAGUUAUUCGACUGAACAUUCGUUGGCAAUUGGUCUCUUUUUCGAUUUGCCUUGAAGCCUCGGUAGAUUGCAAAUAGACUACGCAAACUUUUAUACAAGUGACUCUUAUAAACAAUGAAAUACGUUUGGAUUUCAUUCACCUUAUCAAUUGAGAAUUAAUUGGUUUAUGCGUGCAAGUUGUAUCGAAUUAAGUAGGUCGUAAGUAGGCGCGUGUCUACUGGACCCUCAUUCGAUUGCAUUGUAUGCUAUUGCUUGAUAUAGAUUAACUACGUUUUAAUUAAGUUAAACAAAUGUGAAAUGUGGCAAAGACAAUAAAUUAUGGAAUUUAUUCACGAUUCAAAAAAUAAAAAAACCAACAUGAGAGUUUGGUCUGGUCGAGAGACACUGUCAUUCGAUUUGCACAAUUCACGUCGUUGUUAAUGUCUGGUCAGUGGUCGAGUAAAGAGCUCAAGCUGAAUAAUAUCUGAUGAAAUUAAAGAAAGCGGGGAUCGCAAUCGAAUAACACGCGAGCAACGCGAGAAGCAGGAUUCAAAGCAUCGACGGCAUAUUUUGGAAUGUUUUUUUCCUAUGUAUUCGUAGAAUGCUUGGUUAAUCCACGAUUCGUUUGUUUCUUCGAAGCAAGAAAACACUUUUCUGGUAUUAGAUGAGCGCCGAGAUAGCAUAGAAUUUCUCUACUCUUCAAUCAAAUUUGGGGUGCUCUAUUCUCGAUUCAUUUUUUAGAAAAUCAUUUUGUUAAAAAUUGAUACUUGCAUGCCUGAUUUUGAAACGAAUUGUUUAAUUUAAACAAGAAUGUUUAAUUUAUCCAGCCUCCUACAAUUUGUGAAUUUCAUUUUUCUUUUUGUGAUCAAAAUACAUUUUUAGAGCUUCUACAUUUCAAUGUGCUACUUGUCUAAUUUUUCAAUAUUUUUUUUAUUUUAUUUGUUAUUUUAUAUAUUCCCAAAUAAUGCGUUCAGCGUGAGUCAGAUCGUUUUUGUUUUACAGAAAUCAAUCAUCUCUAGAUUGAAUUCGAUUCAUUUCGACCUGAACCGCGUUUAGUUGUGAUUAUGAGGAUUCUAUGGCAUGAUCAAUGAUAAUUCAGCUGAUAUUUAUACGAUCUCGUCUGCCAUGCGUUUUAUUCGGAUAUUACAAAAAACAGUUUUCACGGCGCAAAUCGCAAAUGAGGACCGAAUUAUAACCUGGUCGUGUAUUACUUUUUGUUGUUUGUUCGUUUGCCUAUUUCUUGCUACUCGUAGAACGAAGAUCACUCUCGCCGAUCUAUCGUAACCACUUCCCAUUUUAUUCUCGAUUUCUCUCGAAAGAAACAUAGGAAAAAAUUAAGAGGGUACAUGCGCUUAGGAGAGUAUCAGAAAAUCGAUUUCUUUUUCGCCUUAAAAUUUAUACAUAUCUUGGGUCAGCAUUAUUUCGAAUAAACGAAUUGGGGUGUUUUUCUGUUUUUAGCAUUUGUAGGUGAAAAUGCAUUAGAAUUUGUUUAUUUUUUGCCUAUAAAAGCAUUUAAGCUGUAUUUUCGUCAAUUGUGUAAUUUUAACAAUACAAACGUAUUGUUUUAUCGUUAUGUUACAUACAGUCAUCGUCACACAUUUUCAUUCACGUUUGGAAAGUUUCAAAGGUUCAUGCUCGUUAGUAAUAUUAUUCAUAUAAGACCUAUUUAUUUUACGUCAAUUCUAUUUUAGUACUAUUUUUUGUUCAUUUUAAGGUGUUGAAACUGUAUAUUAAAUUAAUUAUUACUACUAACGGCUGGCAAAAAUACAGCAUAAUUGUUUUUAUGAUAAAAAAAUGAACAAAUUAAUCUUGAAUUCUCUUUUUAUUUCAAACAGAUUACAUAAUAUUCGCCCCUGAAGAGGUUAAGACAAAUAAAUUUUCCAAGCUUCUAGAAAACUUAUAACGAACGUUGUAAGCACUGUAGUUAGUUCGUAGUGAUUCGUUUGAAGGAAACAUAUAAAAAAAUAUAUCAUCCUAAACAUUGUUCCGUUGCGUUUCCUCUCAAACUCGUUACCUUCUUGCUGCACUGUGUACGUUUGCUUUACCUGCUAACGAUAUCUUAACGAUCUACAACAGUGAUGACAAAUCAAACGUCGUUUAAUCGAUAAAAAUUAGGAGAAUCGGACAAACAUGUAUACAUCUCGGCGCGUUAUAUUGAUUUCCAUGUUUCAGUAUAUUUCACAUUGUUUAAUUUCUGAAAAAUAUAAUACAGUUUUUCAACAUAAAGACACUUAAGUUUAAAAGAAAUAAAGACAAAAUUUGAUAAGAUACAAUUUUACUACAAAACUUGCCGCGUGCCAGUGAAACUUGUCUCGUGUAACGAGAGUUGGCACGCCUGCUAUAGAUUUAUCAUCACUGAUCUAUAGGGUGAGGCUCGUAACUGGAACCACUUCAUUGUUUUUUGGUUUUUUUUUUUUUUUUUUAAGGCGAAACUUGUAGCUUUAAUUGGGAGACCGUAUAACGGACUAAUAAAAUUGUCGCAAACGGUAAACAGAAGCCGAGCACAUUUUCUUCUCCUGUUUAUUAUUAUCGUGCGAGAUGUCUGUACAUUUCGAUACAAUCAUCGGUUGAAAUUAUUAAAGAUCUUCAAACGAUCGUAUUAAUCGCUACGAUUGAAAUUGGUUCGAUAUUAUCUACAAACUUACGUUACAGGGAGCGAAACUAUUUUCAUAAAAAAAAAAAAAAACGAAAUAAACACUUGGAGAUAGCCUUAAAAUCUUGAAAUAUACCGCAAUAACACAUCUACACAUUUUAUAGUUUCUUUACUUAAGUGAAUUUCUUUAAUUUAUUUACUUUAUUCUAUUGUUUCGGGAAGUUUCGUUUUAAACACCCUUUUUAGUACAUCCCGCGACGCAUUAAGAAAUAUAACGUGCCUGCUUUGUCAUCGAUCAGUCGAUUACAUAUUUUCAUUCGUAGCAACAUUUGCAAUGGUAUUUCCUCCGAAGAGGACGAGUCACCUCUCCGGGUCGAAACGUAACUUGUACUUGAUUGAUAACAAACAGUCGCGCAAGUCGUUACUUAUUAUUUGGAAAUUUUCUAAAUCGUAAGUUAUACGAUAUUUUCUGAGCAUAUAUAAUUCAUAUCUAGGUCGAUUUUUAUCGAAUCUAGUCAGAGAUUUACUUCUUCCUUUUGCUCGUGCGAAUAUACAAAGGAAACUUGGCGAAGGAUGAUUUUAUAUUAUUUGGUAUUAUCGAGUAAAUAUGGUUGAGUUUAUUUAAUUCUGUAAUAAGAGGACGUUCCGACCGCGAGGUUGUAUGGUCCUCUUCAGAUGUAAUACAACAAAAAUAUGAAACGAUCAACAGAGUAAUUCAAGAAGUGGUAAAAUACAAUUAACAGGUCGCGAGCUAGUUUUUAAACGCUUGCCAUGGAUAAAUCUUAGCACGAACUUUUGUAUAACAUUAAUUUCAUUGCGAAUAUUGUGAAAUAAUAAUCGUUGAAGCAUGUGGUUCUUGUUUUCACAUGAUAAUUUGAACAAAUGUUGAGAAUAAGGACAUCUCAACCUGUUAAGCACUUGCGAACGAGAUCUGUGUCGUAUAAUGAAAUAUAAAUAGUCAAAAUUAAAUUAAAGUAGAUAAUUUAUACUUUUCUGUAAUAUAUAAGGACGAGGCACAGUAAUCAUUCUGUAUUAAAAUAACACGAUCUCAUGCUUGUUUAUUCAAGAAUUUAUACUCGUUGGUUAGUCUGUGCAAGUAAUAAAGAGUUGAACGCUUUUAAUUCUUGCAAUUUGAUCCAUUUCUAAAAUAUGUAAAAGCAUAUAACAAUGUAUGUCUAGAAAACACUGUUCAAUUUUUAAGAAUAGGUAAAAUAAUACCAACCCGAAGCACUUGAAUAAAUUCUUUAGGCGAUUACAGUUAACCGUUAUAGUUAACCAUUUCUUAUAAAUUGGUUUGACUUAUUUAUAUAAAUAUAUGUUCAAACAUAUUUUAUUAAUAUUAAUAUAAAUAUAUAAUACAUAUUUAUAGAUAUAAUUCAAAUCAAUCCCCUAGAUAAUAUACGGAGUACUUUCGUAGUUAAUGGAUAAAAUCUACCAUAAUGAAUAAAAAUUGCUAGAAAGAAAUAAUUUAUAAAGAGAUUGGUCUAUAAAAUCUUCUAUAAUUUAUUAAAAUUGAUUCAUAAUGCUAAAAGAGUUUAAUUCUUUAAUUACUUUUACAGGCUAACUAAUAAAUAUAAGUCUUUCUGUAUCUCGAAAGCUGAUGAAUGACGAUUAUUCAUUAAAAUUAUUCGUUACGAAGCUAUCGAAGUGGUUUCAGUUUCGUGGCCCAAAUGUGUCUAUUUAGAAGCGCGUAACGUUUGGCACUGGUCCUCCUCGAUCUUUCUAUCCCGCGAAAUGAAUGAAACCUCAAGGGUAGUCGUCUGGUUUUUGGGUAAGAGUGUAUCCGUGCGUGCGUGAGUGUAUCCGUGCGUGCGUGCGUGCGUGCGUGCGUGCGUGCGUGUGUGCGUGUGUGAGUGCGUGCGUGCGUGCGUGCGUGCGUGCGUGCGUGCGUGCGUGCGUGCGUGCCUAGACAUGCUCGAUUUUCGAAUUUUGUAACUCGACACCGUUUGUCUUUCAUUUUGAGCGGGAGACGGGAUAAAAAUCGUUCUUCCGUCUAGCAAAGGGUAAGGGAACGGGACUGAGAUUACAAAAUACGGUCCGCGACCAGAGAUGGGCAAAAUUUUAUUGGAACAAAUGGAUAAUAAAUAGAACAAACGUAUAGCAAUUUAUUCGCUACGUUCAUUCGAUGGAACAGCUGAAACUUUACACCACGUGGUCUCCCAAUUUCUUAACAAGUAAUUAUUAUUGUUAAACGGUUUUGAUUUUAACUGGUGGGAACCUCCAAAAUACAAAAAAGAUAUCUUCGUUUAUUCAUAAAUAAAGUAACGUGUUAAAUAUGAUAAAGGAAUCUAAUAGCUCGAUAAAUAGAUAAUUUACAGGAAAAAAGAAAUUUACAUCUUCGUUAGAACGUAACCUAUGGAUUAAUAUUUACAAUAUUAAUAGUUAAAACAUUUUUGAGCCUCGAUCGUAAGACAAUUUCAUUACAGUCAAAUUUUUUACCACGUGUAUUCCCAACUCCUUCUAUGCGAGGAACAAGAAUAUUUAUUUUACGUUAUUGGGCAUACGAACCAUAUCUUCUUCUAAUGUCAAUGCAUACUAUUACCUUUUAUAAUAUUUAAUACUUAACAUAUUAAAAAGUUAUCAAGGAUAUAAGUUUGUUUAUUUCUCUAGAUUCUUCAUUUA